GGAAUGCUUUACACAUGCAAGUCGAACGGCAGCAUGGAGAGCUUGCUCUCUGAUGGCGAGUGGCGAACGGGUGAGUAAUAUAUCGGAACGUGCCUAGUAAUGGGGAAUAACUAGCUGAAAGGUUAGCUAAUGCCGCAUACGACCUACGGGUGAAAGCAGGGGAUCUUCGGACCUUGCGUUAUUAGAGCGGCCGAUAUCUGAUUAGCUUGUUGGUGGGGUAAUGGCCUACCAAGGCGACGAUCAGUAGCUGGUCUGAGAGGACGAUCAGCCACACUGGAACUGAGACACGGUCCAGACUCCUACGGGAGGCAGCAGUGGGGAAUUUUGGACAAUGGGGGAAACCCUGAUCCAGCCAUUCCGCGUGAGUGAAGAAGGCCUUCGGGUUGUAAAGCUCUUUCGCAAGAGAAGAAAACUUGCUAUCUAAUAAAUAGUAAGCAUGACGGUAU
rnacentral:rRNA from 1 species